UAUGAUUAAUCUCAUAGUAUCCAUAACUGAAUACAUAGGUUAUGUGAUGGGAACCUAGGGAACUGAAACAUCUUAGUACCUAGAGGAAAAGAAAACGAAUGUGAUUCUGUAAGUAGCGGCGAGCGAAAGCGGAACAGGCCAAACCGGUCUACGGGCCGGGGUUGUAGGACUUUUGUUAGAGUUACAAAAUUAGUGUAUAGCAGAAACUGUUGGGAAGCAGUGGCGUAGAGGGUGAUACCCCCGUAUGCGAAAUGCACUAAUCUCGAGAGAGUAUCCUGAGUACGGCGGGGCACGUGAAACCCUGUCGGAAUCUACCCAGACCACUGGGUAAGCCUAAAUACUACCAUUUUACCGAUAGUGAACCAGUACCGUGAGGGAAAGGUGAAAAGUACCCCGAGAGGGGAGUGAAAUAGUCCCUGAAACCAUAUGCUUACAAGAAGUCAGAGCCCGUUAAUGGGUGAUGGCGUGCUUUUUGUAGAAAGAGCCGGCGAGUUACGAUAACAUGCAAGGUUAAGUAGAAUAUACGGAGCCGUAGUGAAAGCGAGCCUUAAUAGGGCGUUUAGUAUGUUGUCGUAGACACGAAACCAGGUGAUCUAGCCAUGAGCAGGUUGAAGUUAGGGUAAAACCUAAUGGAGGACCGAACCAACGUUCGUUGAAAAGACCGUGGAUGACUUGUGGCUAGGGGUGAAAUUCCAAUCGAACCUGGAGAUAGCUAGUUCUCCCCGAUAUAGCUUUAAGGCUAGCGUCGAGGUUAAGAGUUAUGGAGGUAGAGCUCUGAAUGUAUGAUGGCCCCACCUAGGGGUACUGAUUACAAUUAAACUUCAAAUGCCAUAAUUUCAUACUCGGCAGUCAGAACAUGGGUGAUAAGGUCCAUGCUCGUGAGGGAAACAGCCCAGAUCUACAACUAAGGUCCCUAAAUAUACGCUAAGUGUGUAAGGAUGUGAAGGUGCACAGACAGCUAGGAAGUUGGCUCAGAAGCAGCCAUCUUUUAAAGAGUGCGUAACAGCUCACUAGUCGAGUGCCUUUGCGCCGAAAAUGUACCGGGGCUUAAGCGUAUUACCGAAGUUUAGGAUUUACAGUAAUGUAAGUGGUAGGGGAGCGUUCUAAGGGCGAUGAAGUCAGACCGUGAGGACUGGUGGAGCGCUUAGAAGAGAUUAUGCCGGCAUGAGUAACGUUUGGAGGUGAGAAUCCUCCAUGCCGUUUGACCAAGGUUUCCUGGGCAAGGUUCGUCCACCCAGGGUUAGUCAGGACCUAAGGCGAGGCCGAAAGGCGUAGUCGAUGGACAACAGGUUGAUAUUCCUGUACCACCUAAUAAA
rnacentral:rRNA from 1 species